GAAGGUAUAGUUCAGUGGUAGAGUGCUUGCUUAGCAUACACAAGGUCCUGGGUUCAAUCCCCAGUACCUCCA
rnacentral:tRNA from 1 species